GAUGAGCAUGCGUCCUAUUAGCUUGUUGGUAAGGUAACGGCUUACCAAGGCUACGAUAGGUAGGGGUCCUGAGAGGGAGAUCCCCCACACUGGUACUGAGACACGGACCAGACUCCUACGGGAGGCAGCAGUGAGGAAUAUUGGACAAUGGGCGCAAGCCUGAUCCAGCCAUGCCGCGUGCAGGAAGACGCAUCUAUGGUGUGUAAACUGCUUUUGUACGGGAAGAAACACCCCCUCGUGAGGGGGCUUGACGGUACCGUAAGAAUAAGGAUCGGCUAACUCCGUGCCAGCAGCCGCGGUAAUACGGAGGAUCCAAGCGUUAUCCGGAAUCAUUGGGUUUAAAGGGUCCGUAGGCGGUCAGAUAAGUCAGUGGUGAAAGCCCAUCGCUCAACGAUGGAACGGCCAUUGAUACUGUCUGACUUGAAUUACUGGGAAGUAACUAGAAUAUGUAGUGUAGCGGUGAAAUGCUUAGAUAUUACAUGGAAUACCAAUUGCGAAGGCAGGUUACUACCAGUGGAUUGACGCUGAUGGACGAAAGCGUGGGGAGCGAACAGGAUUAGAUACCCUGGUAGUC
rnacentral:rRNA from 1 species